AGAAUGGACAUUCACUGAGAGUUGCAUGUUGUUAUUGUGACCACGCUCCAGCAAAGCAUGCAGCACUGAUUGAAAUAGGUGACCCACAGCACAUCUCCACUGGACCCAGCCGCGAGUUUUCCGACAGUAUUGCGCCAGAUGGCAUCUCGUACCAGACAAGUACGUACAAACCAGUCCAGCAGAAUGAUAGCAA